UGGGGAAUAUUGCACAAUGGGCGCAAGCCUGAUGCAGCCAUGCCGCGUGUGUGAAGAAGGCCUUCGGGUUGUAAAGCACUUUCAGCGAGGAGGAAGGGUAGUGUGUUAAUAGCACAUUGCAUUGACGUUACUCGCAGAAGAAGCACCGGCUAACUCCGUGCCAGCAGCCGCGGUAAUACGGAGGGGGCAAGAGUUAAUCGGAAUUACUGGGCGUAAAGCGCACGCAGGCGGUUUGUUAAGUCAGAUGUGAAAUCCCCGCGCUUAACGUGGGAACUGCAUUUGAAACUGGCAAGCUAGAGUCUUGUAGAGGGGGGUAGAAUUCCAGGUGUAGCGGUGAAAUGCGUAGAGAUCUGGAGGAAUACCGGUGGCGAAGGCGGCCCCCUGGACAAAGACUGACGCUCAGGUGCGAAAGCGUGGGGAGCAAACA
rnacentral:rRNA from 1 species